UGGGGAAUCUUGCACAAUGCGCGAAAGCGUGAUGCAGCAACGCCGCGUGGGGGAAGAAGGCCUUCGGGUUGUAAACCCCUUUCAGUUGGGACGAAGCUUCGCCGGUGAAUAGCCGGCUGGAGUGACGGUACCUUCACAAGAAGCCCCGGCUAACUACGUGCCAGCAGCCGCGGUAAUACGUAGGGGGCUAGCGUUGUCCGGAAUCAUUGGGCGUAAAGAGCGUGUAGGCGGCCCGGUAAGUCCGCUGUGAAAGUCGGGGGCUCAACCCUCGAAUGCCGGUGGAUACUGUCGGGCUAGAGUGCGGAAGAGGCGAGUGGAAUUCCUGGUGUAGCGGUGAAAUGCGCAGAUAUCAGGAGGAACACCAAUUGCGAAGGCAGCUCGCUGGGACGUAACUGACGCUGAGACGCGAAAGCGUGGGGAGCGAAACAGGAUUAGGUACCCUGGUAGUCCACGCUGUAAACGAUGGGCACUAGGUGUGGGGGGUGUCGACUCCCUCCGUGCCGAAG
rnacentral:rRNA from 1 species